rnacentral:lncRNA from 1 species
GAGGAAGUUGCCAUGAUAGAAGAGCCCAAUACUAUGAAGACUUCAAUUCCAGCAAGAUACAACAAGGACAAUGAAGAGAAUGAAGAUGAAGAAUACCAACAAAUGAGUAAAAGAAAGCACUCCAUGAGUCAUACAAGGCAGCAAGAGGUGCAAGAAGGCUCAUCUUCUUUGCAUGAAAGAAGAUAUCCAACACAUGAGAGAAGACCACAAGGUGAAUGGUGAAAGAACCACAUCUUUCCACAACAAUUGGAUGUAAGUGGGUGCUUAGAACUAAGAGAGAUGCAAACGAUUGAAGGUCAACAAUGGGCUAUGUAUUC